GACGAACGCUGGCGGCGUGCUUAACACAUGCAAGUCGAACGGAAAGGCCCUGCUUUUGUGGGGUGCUCGAGUGGCGAACGGGUGAGUAACACGUGAGUAACCUGCCCUUGACUUUGGGAUAACUUCAGGAAACUGGGGCUAAUACCGGAUAGGAGCUCCUGCUGCAUGGUGGGGGUUGGAAAGUUUCGGCGGUUGGGGACGGACUCGCGGCUUAUCAGCUUGUUGGUGGGGUAGUGGCUUACCAAGGCUUUGACGGGUAGCCGGCCUGAGAGGGUGACCGGUCACAUUGGGACUGAGAUACGGCCCAGACUCCUACGGGAGGCAGCAGUGGGGAAUAUUGCACAAUGGGCGGAAGCCUGAUGCAGCAACGCCGCGUGCGGGAUGACGGCCUUCGGGUUGUAAACCGCUUUCGCCUGUGACGAAGCGUGAGUGACGGUAAUGGGUAAAGAAGCACCGGCUAACUACGUG
rnacentral:rRNA from 1 species